UUCCUGGAAAAGACAGCUGAGAGGGUGAAACUCCCGUCCGCCUGGUGGAAUGAGUCUUUGUCAACGAGUCGAGUUGUUUGGGAUUGCAGCUCUAAUUUGGUGGUAAAUCCCAUCUAAAGCUAAAUAUUGGUGGGAGACCGAUAGCGUACAAGUACCGUGAGGGAAAGAUGCAAAGAACUUUGAAAGGAGAGUUAAAGAGUACCUGAAAUUGCUGAAACGGAAGCGAAGGAAACCAGUGUUUGUUGGUUCAUAUUUCCUUGGCCACUUGUGGUUUGGGCG
rnacentral:rRNA from 1 species